rnacentral:rRNA from 1 species
CACAGAGUUAGCCGGUGCUUAUUCUUCCGGUACCGUCAAGACCGGAGGUGUUAGCUCCGAUCUUUUUCGUCCCGGCUUAAAGGGCUUUACAACCCGAAGGCCUUCUUCACCCACGCAGCGUCGCUGGAUCAGGCUUUCGCCCAUUGUCCAAUAUUCCCCA